AUCAUACUAGUGUUAUAUUUCCUAUUUUGCAAAUUGGAAAUUUCAAAAUAUUUGCAAAAUAGGAAAUAUUACACUAGCAAGUGUU
rnacentral:sRNA from 1 species